rnacentral:rRNA from 1 species
AUUGAACGCUGGCGGCAUGCCUUACACAUGCAAGUCGAACGGCAGCGGGGGAGAAGCUUGCUUUUCCUGCCGGCGCGUGGCGGACGGGUGAGUAAUACAUCGGAACGUGCCCUGUAGUGGGGGAUAACUAGUCGAAGGAUUAGCUAAUACCGCAUGCGACCUGAGGGUGAAAGUGGGGGAUCGCAAGGCCUCAUGCUAUAGGAGCGGCCGAUGUCGGAUUAGCUAGUUGGUGGGGUAAAGGCCUACCAAGGCGACGAUCAGUAGCUGGUCUGAGAGGACGAUCAGCCACACUGGGACUGAGACACGGCCCAGACUCCUACGGGAGGCAGCAGUGGGGAAUUUUGGACAAUGGGCGAAAGCCUGAUCCAGCAAUGCCGCGUGUGUGAAGAAGGCCUUCGGGUUGUAAAGCACUUUUGUCCGGAAAGAAAUGGCUCUGGUUAAUACCUGGGGUCGAUGACGGUACCGGAAGAAUAGGGACCGGCUAACUACGUGCCAGCAGCCGCCGUAAUAC